GGCCCACGCCUGAACUGGUACUUGGAGGAAUGAGGGGUCAACUUUGCAAAUGGAUGAGUGAUCGUUAGAAGAUCCUUAGUCCCCUGGUCUUCUUGACACAUGAGGUAUAUACUUCUAGUCCAUAUUGGGGGGAGACUCCACGUCGAUUUAUCGAGUAAAAUUCUGUAUACAUAUUGAUAAUGACAAUAUGUACAUUUGUCUUGACUAAUUACGUGCCAGCAGUCGCGGCAAUACGUAAGAGACUAGUGUUAAUCAUCAUAAAUAGGUUUAAAGGGUACUCAGACGGAAAAAUUCGCCCAAAUAUAGGGGACAAUUUUUCUAGAGUUUUAUGUAAGAAGGUCGUACUCUAGAGUGGAGAGAUAAAAUUCUGUGAUACCUAGGGGACGGGUAAAGGCGAAGGCAAUCUUUUAUGUAAAAACUGACGUCGAAGGACGAAGGCAAAGGGAACAAAAAGGAUUAGAUACCCCAGUAGUCUUUGCAGACAAUUAUGAAUGCCAUAGGUUAGAUUUUUAAUUUAGUCUAUAAAUGAAAGUGUAAGCAUUUCACCUCAAGAGUAAGGCGGCAACGCAGGAACUGAAAUCACUAGACCGUUUCUGACACCAGCAAUGAAGUAU
rnacentral:rRNA from 1 species